AGUUUGAUCCUGGCUCAGAAUGAACGUUGGCGGCGUGGAUUAGGCAUGCAAGUCGAACGCGAAAGCCGCAAGGUCAGUAGCGUGGCGAAAGGGGCAGUAAUGCAUAAGCAACUUACCCUCAGGUCUGGGAUAUCCAGGGGAAACCCUGUGCAAUACUGGACGCCGUAACCGGAUCGCAUGGUUUGGUUACGAAAGGUGACGCCUGAGGAGAGGCUUAUGUCCUAUCAGCUUGUUGGUGAGGUAACGGCUCACCAAGGCGACGACGGGUAGGGGGUGUGAGAGCACGACCCCCGUCACUGGCACUGAGACACUGGCCAGACUCCUACGGGAGGCUGCAGUCGAGAAUCUUCGGCAAUGGGCGAAAGCCUGACCGAGCGACGCCGCGUGGAGGAUGAAGGCCUUCGGGUUGUAAACUCCUGUUGGGGGGGAACAAAUUUGAGUGAACCCCUGAGGAAGCACGGGCUAAGUUCGUGCCAGCAGCCGCGGUAAGACGAACCGUGCGAACGUUAUUCGGAAUCACUGGGCUUAAAGGGCGCGUAGGCGGUGCUGCAAGUUGAAGGUGAAAUACUAUCGGCUCAACCGUGGAAUUGCCUCCAAAACUGCAGCGCUCGAGGGAGAUAGGGGCAUGCGGAACUUCCGGUGGAACGGUGAAAUGUGUUGAUAUCGGAGGGAACGCCGGUGGCGAAAGCGGCAUGCUGGACCUCUACUGACGCUGAGGCGCGAAAGCUAGGGUAGCGAACGGGAUUAGAUACCCCGGUAGUCCUAGCCCUAAACGUUGGGUACUGGGUAGAAAGUGCAUUAAGCGCCUUCUGCCGAAGUGAAAAUCUUAAGUACCCCGCCUGGGGAGUAUGGUCGCAGGCUGAAACUCAAAG
rnacentral:rRNA from 1 species